rnacentral:lncRNA from 1 species
AAAUUAGCUGGGCGUGGUGGCGUAUGUCCAUAAUAAGUACAUGAAUUCUAAAAUUAGGCAAUGUAGACAUUCAUUUGGCCAUCCGCUUUUGUUAUCAAUAAAAAGUCAUCCUUUUUUUUUUUUUCUCUUAGAUGUUUCUCGUAAAAGCAAGACACCUGCUUUCCUGCCGCUCCACAUGGGGCUUACAGAACAUUCAACUCACAGAUCAUAGUGCUGGUUCCACUUUGGGUCCAAUGUGUUUUUCACAGUGUCGGUUGAGUGGCACUGCCCAGACCCAUCCACGACAAUCUUUGCAAAAGGGUCGGGGAGCCCUAGAGGAGAGAGGAGACCCACACCUAGAUGAGACCUCACAUCCAUCCAUGUGACACAGAACACACAAUUCGUGUUCUCUAAUUUCAGGAUAAUUUCAAUCAGCAAAAUAAGUUAUGUCUA